rnacentral:rRNA from 1 species
GAUGAACGCUAGCGGGAGGCCUAACACAUGCAAGCCGAGCGGUAUUGUUUCUUCGGAAAUGAGAGAGCGGCGUACGGGUGCGGAACACGUGUGCAACCUGCCUUUAUCUGGGGGAUAGCCUUUCGAAAGGAAGAUUAAUACUCCAUAACAUAUUGAUUGGCAUCAAUUAAUAUUGAAAGCUCCGGCGGAUAGAGAUGGGCACGCGCAAGAUUAGCUAGUUGGUGAGGUAACGGCUCACCAAGGCGAUGAUCUUUAGGGGGCCUGAGAGGGUGAUCCCCCACACUGGUACUGAGACACGGACCAGACUCCUACGGGAGGCAGCAGUGAGGAAUAUUGGUCAAUGGGUGCAAGCCUGAACCAGCCAUCCCGCGUGAAGGACGACUGCCCUAUGGGUUGUAAACUUCUUUUGUAUAGGGAUAAACCUACCCUCGUGAGGGUAGCUGAAGGUACUAUACGAACAAGCACCGGCUAACUCCGUGCCAGCAGCCGCGGUAAUACGGAGGGUGCAAGCGUUAUCCGGAUUUAUUGGGUUUAAAGGGUCCGUAGGCGGACUUAUAAGUCAGUGGUGAAAGCCUGUCGCUUAACGAUAGAACUGCCAUUGAUACUGUAAGUCUUGAGUAUAUUUGAGGUAGCUGGAAUAAGUAGUGUAGCGGUGAAAUGCAUAGAUAUUACUUAGAACACCAAUUGCGAAGGCAGGUUACCAAGAUAUAACUGACGCUGAGGGACGAAAGCGUGGGGAGCGAACAGGAUUAGAUACCCUGGUAGUCCACGCCGUAAACGAUGCUAACUCGUUUUUGGGCUUUAGGGUUCAGAGACCAAGCGAAAGUGAUAAGUUAGCCACCUGGGGAGUACGCUCGCAGGAGUGAAACUCAAAGGAAUUGACGGGGGCCCGCACAAGCGGUGGAUUAUGUGGUUUAAUUCGAUGAUACGCGAGGAACCUUACCAAGACUUAAAUGGGAAUUGACAGCUUUAGAAAUAGAGCUUUCUUCGGACAAUUUUCAAGGUGCUGCAUGGUUGUCGUCAGCUCGUGCCGUGAGGUGUUAGGUUAAGUCCAGCAACGAGCGCAACCCCUGUCACUAGUUGCCAUCAUUCAGUUGGGGACUCUAGUGAGACUGCCUACGCAAGUAGAGAGGAAGGUGGGGAUGACGUCAAAUCAUCACGGCCCUUACGUCUUGGGCCACACACGUAAUACAAUGGCCGGUACAGAGGGCAGCUACACAGCGAUGUGAUGCAAAUCUCGAAAGCCGGUCUCAGUUCGGAUUGGAGUCUGCAACUCGACUCUAUGAAGCUGGAAUCGCUAGUAAUCGCGCAUCAGCCAUGGCGCGGUGAAUACGUUCCCGGGCCU